GACCCCAUGCCGAACUCAGAAGUGAAACGCCGUAGCGCCGAUGGUAGUGUGGGGUCUCCCCAUGCGAGAGUAGGACACUGCCAGGCA
rnacentral:rRNA from 1 species